GCUUACGGGCAUACCAGUCUGAGAACGCCCGAUCCCGUCUGGUCUCGGAAGCGGAACAGGGUUUGGUCUGGUUAGUACUUAGAUGGAACACCACCUGGGAAUACCAGAUGCUGUAAGUC
ensembl:rRNA 5S_rRNA 5S ribosomal RNA